rnacentral:rRNA from 1 species
GACGAACGCUGGCGGCGUGCCUAAUACAUGCAAGUUGAGCGCUGAAGGUUGGUACUUGUACCAACUGGAUGAGCAGCGAACGGGUGAGUAACGCGUGGGGAAUCUGCCUUUGAGCGGGGGACAACAUUUGGAAACGAAUGCUAAUACCGAAUAAAAACUUUAAACACAAGUUUUAAGUUUGAAAGAUGCAAUUGCAUCACUCAAAGAUGAUCCCGCGUUGUAUUAGCUAGUUGGUGAGGUAAAGGCUCGCCAAGGCGAUGAUACAUAGCCGACCUGAGAGGGUGAUCGGCCACAUUGGGACUGAGACACGGCCCAAACUCCUACGGGAGGCAGCAGUAGGGAAUCUUCGGCAAUAGACGAAAGUCUGACCGAGCAACGCCGCGUGAGUGAAGAAGGUUUUCGGAUCGUAAAACUCUGUUGGUAGAGAAGAACGUUGGUGAGAGUGGAAAGCUCAUCAAGUGACGGUAACUACCCAGAAAGGGACGGCUAACUACGUG